rnacentral:lncRNA from 1 species
CACUACCUGAAUUCGGACCCCAUCCCCUGUCCGACUGGUCCCGGCGAUGAAACGAAAUUUUUAUAUCAAGAUGGAUCUCCUGCAGGGACAAAAACGAUUGGAGUGAACGUGCAGCUUCUACCAAAAAUUCCAUUAUAGAUGUAAUGAAAAUAACUUUAUUACUAAAACGUUUGAUUUAUAAUAAAACUACAAUAAAAUAACUUUAACUUCAACAAGAUAAUAGCCUCUACUAUAUCAUCAAUAGCAGCACAAAACAUCAAAAUAACACUAGAGGAAGAUGAAGACAACACUUUCUACGAAACGGCCAGUUCACCACAGUCACAGACAAACAGUUCACAAGUCGGACACUUCACCAGUCUCAAACGGACAGUACGCACACAAUCAACGUACAAGAGUGGCUACUGCUCUGCCUCUUUUCCACAGCUUUAUGUACUGCUACCUAAUUUACAUAUUGACAUAAGUUAUCUUACAAUUAUAAAAUGUAGUAGAGAUUCUUGCUUUAAAUACAUUUUUAACACCAUUAAUUAUUAAUCAAAACAUUAAUUUAAUUUAUCAAAAUGUAAAAGGUUUCAAAUUAACAAACUUAAAUUUUUAAAUUUAACAUAAUUACGAAAUGACAUCCGGGUUCUGUAAAAACAAGAUGGCGGCAGCAGGUGAGUACGUCUCAAUCCUUCACAGCCUUCCCCAAAAAGACUGUCCUGGGGCCCCUUCCCCAGUACCGGCUACCUGCUCCAUACAUCCUUUAUGAACCAGUUAUUCAGUAGAAGCAAUAUCGUCUUCUUACAACAACCGUUCAUCCUUUAAAUACUCAGGGGUAGCCGACCGAUGCUGGUACUCCUCGUAAUAACCCGAAGACGACUGACCACCAGAACACGCUGCACCAUCAUCAUUCAAACUCCGUCUUCGACGUUUAGCUGCACAGGAUCUGCAAAUGGAUUCUCUUUGAGCAGUUCUCUCAAAAACAGGAAGGGGAAACAGGGUCCCUGUUCGGGCGCCAUUUGUAGGGUAGGUAGUAUCACCUCUACCGCUACCUAGGUCCGGACCCCGUGCCCCCACUGACCGCUCCUUUCGUUGGACAGUAAUCUUUAUUUGUAUUUCAUGCUGUAUUAGCCAACGAGAAAACAACCUAACUGUAUCAUCCAAGUACUCCAUGACACAUAUAAGGUAAGAACUUCUGUUUAAUAUAAA